GGGGAUGUGGUGAAAUGGCAUACACGUAGCGUUCAGGACGCUAUGGACUCACGUCCGUGGAGGUUCAAGUCCUCUCAUCCCCA
rnacentral:tRNA from 1 species